rnacentral:rRNA from 1 species
UUGGAGGGCAAGUCUGGUUGCCRGCAGCCGCGGUAAUUCCAGCUCCAAUAGCGUAUAUUAAAGUUGUUGUGGUUAAAAAGCCUCGUAGUAGAAGCUCGGGCUCCGGCCGACCGGAUCCGCCUCACCGCGWGCACUGGUUCGGCCGGGCCUUCACCUUCUGCGGAACCGCAUCUCCUUCACUGGGGGUGUCGGGGARACAGGACGUUUACUGUGAAAAAAUUAGAGUGCUCCAGGCAGGCCUAUGCUCGAAUAGAUUAGCAUGGAAUAAUGGAAUAGGACGUGUGGUCUUAUUUCGUUGGUUUCUAGGACCGCCGUAAUGAUUAAUAGGGACAGUCGGGGGCAUCAGUAUUCAAUCGUCAGAGGUGAAAUUCUUGGAUCGAUUGAAGACUAACUACUGCGAAAGCAUUUGCCAAGGAUGUUUUCAUUUAUCAGGAACGAAAGUUAGGGGAUCGAAGACGAUCAGAUACCGUCGUAGUCUUAACCAUAAACUAUGCCGACUAGGGRUCGGACGGUGUUAUUUCUUGACCCGUUCGGCGCCUUACGGGAAAC